GCGCCAUUUGCGGGGGCGUGGGUGCCCUGCCCUCCAAACCACCCACGGCCCAAUCCAAUCGCUUGCACGCCGCAACCCUUCCUCCCUCCUCGAUCUCUCUCCCUCAGCCACCACGAACCCUAGCCCCCUUUCCUACCAUCCUGUGGUCGCUGCCCUCUGCUCCAUCUGACCUCCCUCAUCAACCGCCGCCUCUGUGGCUCCUCCGUCCGUCGACUCUGUCUCCCCAAUUCAUCCUCCGUCCCUUUCUGCUCGAGGUGCUCAUCGGCCCAGGUCGUGAGGAAGCCGCGUGACGAGGAGCCCAGGUCGUGAAGCCGCGUGACGAGGAGAGACCUUGCCCGCCCGAGAAGCUGUGGGAGGAGGGCCUCAACCAGAGAGGAGCGGCUGCCAACCAUGUAGUCGGCUCGGCUCGAUGCCGGACGCGGCAGACCCUAGCGCCAUCCUUCAGGAGUCUUCACGACCUCCAGGUGCGCAUCUUUCAGGAUUUAAUAAUGAGUUAUCUUGGCUUCAUUGGACAAAUGAUCUACCUGGAGCAAUGAUACAGGUAAGUUAUUGAUGCAUCUGAGCUGCUUUAUCUUAUUGUUCAUCUGCUGCACCGGUUUUAGUUGAUAAUAAGAGCAACAACACGAGAUUGUGCGCUAUCUUGCUCCAGGUUCUACUGCAACAGUACAACAUACAAAGUGAUGGAGGAGAGGUGUCCAGAGAAAGUUUUAUACAUGUGCCAGGUUCUGAAGCAUGAGGAUCCGGUGCGACAGGAAGCAACUCUGCAUACGGUUCCUGUAGAUGAACUUAAGGAGAAGGUGCUUAUUUCACUGGCCAAGGAAACAUGUGAAAAAGGUGGGAUCUUUCCGUCGGCUUUCGCAGCUGGCUAUAUGCAUCAUAGAGCAUCUAAUCUGCAUCAACUUUAGACAUGGAGAGUUCUACUCCAAUUUCUUUGUGUUGUCGGCCUUGGUGAUUGUUCUGGAGCUCUAAUUGGCUGAUGGACUUUUAAAUGUUUCCCUGCAAUUUUCAUUGCUUUGCCUGCAAGUGUUUUGUCUGUGAGCUUGCUCGUAUACUAAAUGUUAUCUAGGCUCAUGUGUAUAAAAUAAGGGUAUCGAUAUGCAAAUAAAUCUUGACACAGUGGAUUUGGUUCUUUUACAUUUCUGAAGUACCUUGUGCAAAUAAUGAAUCAUCAUCUCCCGUGUUUUUCUCUUGAAAAUGGAGGUGUCAUGGUUUUCUUUUUGUACCUCUUGCAGUUGGAUGGUUUGAUGAUUAGAACAUAAUGAAUUAUGGUUGUUCUUAUAAACUCUCUUUAAUGUGACCUCUAUGGAACUUUGGAUGAUCAUCGAGGGCAAUCUUGGAUAGUUUCAGGAGAAAUAAUCAGUGUGGGAUUGAGCCAUAGCUUUUGGAGGGUUGAUGGUUUAUGAAGUACUCCCUCCGUCCCAAAAUAAGUGUCUCAACUUUAGUACAACUUAUUUUGGGACGGAGGGAGUAUUAUAUGAUAGAUAGUGAUGGUAAAAUAAACAUAUUUAUAACAAAGCCUUCUAUUGGAAAGCAAUUGAAUUCAUGACAAUUCAGAAGUAAGAAUUUAACAUUUUCUUGAUUGUCUGAUUUCAUAGCCUUCAUGUUCCUGGAUAUCAUUUUUGUUAACUCUCUGCUGAUGGCACCUUGAAGCUUGAGUAUUUUCAUACCUUGAUGAAUACAUUGCUCUACAUAAUUGGUUGAUUAAAGAGGUUAACUCUUUUUUGUAGCAGUUUUUCAAUUGAUCUGAUGCGAUGACCAAAACAUGUUUACUUAAACUUGGUAUAUUAGCUCAAGCACCUGAUCAGUAAAAUGGAGUUCUAUUGGUUCUAGCUAUUGUUCCAAAUCAUUCAGAAAGAAAAACUGAUAUGCUAAAUAAACUGUCUGCUUUACUAACUUUAUUUUUUAGUCUUGCUUCCAUUCAUGUAUUUAUAGUACCGUGGGUAUCUACAACAAUGAUAGUACAAAUGAUUUGUAGAAGAACACAUGUUCACUAUAAAUAAAUAAAUAUGGCAUGAAUUUAAUUGGUGUUAACUUGAACUUAGGUGGUGAGAUUGUGCGUCCACUCCCACCCAAGUGAGCUAGGUGUAAUUUUGACUUUAUUCAAACACAUCAUGGGUGUAUAUGAACAUUAUCUCAAAAUACUCAAUCUUGGCAACAAAAACUUAAUUGUGUGCGUGAAAAAUUUUACUUUCUGUUUGUCGAAUUGAGAAGUUCUUGCCGGUUAUCUGUGAUCUUUGGCGUGGUGCUGCAACCACUUUAACAGACUGAAACUAUUGCCUUAUUUUUUAUUCUACAUUUCCCUUAAAGAUUUCUGGUGGAGCCGCAUUCGUGCAUUAGUGAAAAAAUUAGAGGUUUAUUCUAUUGGACAUCGUCAGAAUGGUCAAGCAUGUUUUACUAUAAUUUUGCAGGGUUCCUGCUCCUUCUAUGUAUUUUUGAUUUAUUUGUGUUGACUGUGCUCAAUGGUGCUUGCAGAUCCAUGGACAUCGUCAAAAUGGUCACUUUCUUGCAGUAUAUUAUUUUCAGAUCUCAUGUUUCUCAAGGUGACAAAAGAGAGAUGGCAAAACUAUUGUAGCACAACCAUACAGAAAGCUUUGGCUCCUUGCUUUUCUUAAGUAGUUUUAUAAGGGCAUCGAACCAUUUGGUGCUACAGUUAUUGUAUAGUAAACCGGCAUAAUAUGAGAGAUUAACAGUCAGAUUUUACAUGUUUAGUAAAGUAGGCAACUGGCACAUGUUUGUAUAGCAAUUCUGAACCCCUCAUAUUGAAUGAUUCAUCUACAGAAGCACUCAGUUUGUCUAUAAUUUUUUGUACGAGUUUAGAUUACUCUGAGAACAGCCGGUACCAUACCAUCACGGCUGCUUGCAAAAUUAGUAAGAGGCUAAAUUUCUGAGUUGUCUUAGUUAUGUAGCACACGAAUUGAGUGUGACUUAGGAAUUAAUAUGCGAGUUGGCUUAGUUAUGAAAUCAAAAAGCACCUCUGUACAUGCAGGUAAUUGAGCAGUGGAUGGGUGACGGGGAUAGGUUUCAUAAAACCGAUUAUUAUGAACUUGUUCAUUGUAUCAUAUAAACAUUACACCACCAGAAUUCAGUAGCGUGUUAACAUUCAGCUGACUGCUCCCAUUUUUAGCUCGUUUUGUAGGUAUGCUUUAGGAAAAUUUUGGUCUGCGAAGAUACUGUUUCAGCAAAGGGCAAAGGGAAAAUCAUCAAGUUCGAUGAUCCAGUUUUUGUUCCAUAGGAUUCCAUUUUUCAAAUGAAUCUCCUACCUGAAAAAGGGCAUGGUAGUGGAUAUUGUAUCUGUUUUGUGUGCAUCAGAAGAGACGACUGGCUGGUUGAUUUUGUGCACAUAUUCUGUAAAUUCAACUUACCAAUAAAGCUUUGACAGGUCAUAUUGCCAGCACAUUCCAAGCGGAAUGGAGUGCCCAGUUUUGUCCAGAAAGCUGAGGCCUUCUGGUGGUUUAGCAUGAUAUUUCCUUAGUUGUCUUUUUGACUAGAAGAAGGAAGUGUUGCUUGACUGGAAUGAGAUCACAAAGGAAUCUGAGACGAGCUUUGCUACAUAAAGUAGUCUGAUGUGAUCUCCAUAUUCAUACAUAAUAUAUCGAUGUUAUGUGCACAUUGGAAGUUGUCGAAUAUCUCCUGAUCAUAGGUUUCUUGCAUAUACUCUCGAUACAUCUGGGGGAAACUGUUUUCGCUGGAACUGAAAGAUCUUCAGUCUAGGUUAUGUUUCUAAAGCUCCAUGCUUAAUCAUCCAGACUGUUUCCAAGUGACUGCUUUACACAUGGGAGACUGGAUGCCUGGAGGAGUUCAGAGAAGCUGGUGUUAUGUUACAUAUGGUCUUCAAGCUAAUGUUAUGUUUCUUGCAUGGUUUGUAUAUUUGUUGCAAAAACAUAGUACAAGAAAAAGAUCUAUGCUCAUGAAGAUGGCAGAAGGGAACUACAUGUGGAACAAGAACCACCAGCGCUGACCAGUUGGGCAUCUAGAUAGUGGUAGUGAACAAAAAUUGCUUGCCCUAUAGAGUCAAUGUAUUCUACUACUAUCCCACUCGCUGAUUUUUAUGUUAGGAAAUUAUAGUUCAACCAUAGUAUGUAUUUACACUCCUGCUGUGAGAUUGUACUAUGUAAAUUAUGGGAGGACAAUAUAGGCCUUUAUAUGCAAAAAACUCCUUGUUGAAAUGAGUAACUUGAGCCAUUUGGCA